rnacentral:rRNA from 1 species
CGAACGAAGCACAUACGGCGGAACUUUUCGGAGGGAAGAUGUAUGUGACUGAGUGGCGGACGGGUGAGUAACGCGUGGGUAACCUGCCCCAUAGAGGGGGACAACAGUUGGAAACGACUGCUAAUACCGCAUAAGAAGGAAUUGCCGCAUGGCAGUUUUUUGAAAGAUUUAUCGCUAUGGGAUGGACCCGCGUCUGAUUAGCUAGUUGGGAGGGUAACGGCCUACCAAGGCAACGAUCAGUAGCCGGCUUGAGAGAGUGAACGGCCACAUUGGGACUGAGACACGGCCCAGACUCCUACGGGAGGCAGCAGUGGGGAAUAUUGCACAAUGGGGGAAACCCUGAUGCAGCGACGCCGCGUGAGUGAAGAAGUAUUUCGGUAUGUAAAGCUCUAUCAGCAGGGAAGAAACCCACCCUCCGGGGUGGCUGACGGUACCUGACUAAGAAGCCCCGGCUAACUACGUGCCAGCAGCCGCGGUAAUACGUAGGGGGCAAGCGUUAUCCGGAUUUACUGGGUGUAAAGGGAGCGUAGGUGGCAAGGCAAGUCAGAUGUGAAAACCCGGGGCCCAACCCCGGGAGUGCAUUUGAAACUGUCUGGCUAGAGUGCAGGA